rnacentral:rRNA from 1 species
AUUGAACGCUGGCGGCAGGCCUAACACAUGCAAGUCGAGCGAUGACGGGAGCUUGCUCCUUGAUUCAGCGGCGGACGGGUGAGUAAUGCCUAGGAAUCAGCCUGGUAGUGGGGGACAACGUUUCGAAAGGAACGCUAAUACCGCAUACGUCCUACGGGAGAAAGCAGGGGACCUUCGGGCCUUGCGCUAUCAGAUGAGCCUAGGUCGGAUUAGCUAGUAGGUGAGGUAAUGGCUCACCUAGGCGACGAUCCGUAACUGGUCUGAGAGGAUGAUCAGUCACACUGGAACUGAGACACGGUCCAGACUCCUACGGGAGGCAGCAGUGGGGAAUAUUGGACAAUGGGCGAAAGCCUGAUCCAGCCAUGCCGCGUGUGUGAAGAAGGUCUUCGGAUUGUAAAGCACUUUAAGUUGGGAGGAAGGGCAGUAAGUUAAUACCUUGCUGUUUUGACGUUACCGACAGAAUAAGCAUCGGCUAACUCUGUGCCAGCCGCCGCGGUAA